UUUCCAUUUUCGCUGAGUUUCCUAAUGGGAAACGGGGGAACCAAAAAGUGAUUUGCUCAUUGCAAUCAAUGGGGCAAAAGUCACGAUUUCUGGGGUGAAUCUUUCGGAUAGAAUCACGUGUUUACGUGUAUACGAUUCAAUCCAAAGUAGGGCGACUCUCAAGUCCGAAUCCGUCAGCUAACCUCGUAAGCGUUAAGAGAGAGGUAAC
rnacentral:sRNA from 2 species